GAAACAGGAUAUAUUUUUUACCUAACAGUUUCUUACUCUUCUUUUUCAGGAGGGGGUGUGUGUUGCUAUUGUUUUCUGAAAGGGACAGGUGACAGUCAGCACGACUCUGUGGACCUGACCUGAAACUUCCUGAUUUAUAUGUGUAUUGAUAACUGUCACUAACAAAGUUAGUGGCUGCCGUGAUUCAUAGUCCAGCAAAAGUUCCCACAGUGGCCCCACUUCAUGCUGCAAUGCAGUGAGGGCCCUCCCUGGAGGAUGCAGGCUUCAGAAACCAGGCUCUGUUGUCAGCCGAGCUUGAUGCUCUGCUCGAUGCUGAUGGAAGAGGAUGUUAUAUGGGUUCCUCCCACCUUACCCCUGAGAGACU
rnacentral:lncRNA from 1 species